AUUGAACGCUGGCGGCAGGCUUAACACAUGCAAGUCGAGCGGGGGAGGUUGCUUCGGGCGCUGACGAGUGGCGAACGGGUGAGUAAUGCAUCGGAACGUGCCCAGUCGUGGGGGAUAACGCAGCGAAAGCUGUGCUAAUACCGCAUACGAUCUGCGGAUGACAGCGGGGGACCUUCGGGCCUCGCGCGAUUGGAGCGGCCGAUGCCAGAUUAGGUAGUUGGUGGGGUAAAGGCUCACCAAGCCAACGAUCUGUAUCGGGUCUGAGAGGACGACCAGCCACACUGGGACUGAGACACGGCCCAGACUCCUACGGGAGGCAGCAGUGGGGAAUUUUGGACAAUGGGCGCAAGCCUGAUCCAGCAAUGCCGCGUGCAGGAAGAAGGCCUUCGGGUUGUAAACUGCUUUUGUACGGAGCGAAAAGGCUCCCUCUAAUACAGGGGGCUCAUGACGGUACCGUAAGAAUAAGCACCGGCUAACUACGUGCCAGCCGCCGCGGUAAAAC
rnacentral:rRNA from 1 species